rnacentral:Y_RNA from 1 species
GGGGUCUGAAUGCAGUGGCAUUUACAACUAAUUGAUCACAACCAGUCACAGGGGGGUUUUUUGUUCCUUCUGGACCCCCACUGCUUCAUUGACUAACCUAGA